AUGGAAAGAUAUGUUCCACUCAUUCUUAUAAUAGUACCAGGUGUAUUUGCUGACAGCAUCGGACCAGACAAGGAUUCUAAAAUAAUCAGGAGUGAAGGAGAAUCUGUGACACUGAGCUGCACAUAUGAUACUAGCAGCAGUUAUGUUAUGCUUUACUGGUAUCGAGAAUAUCCCAACAAAGAACCUCAGCAUUUACUACGGAAAGGUGCUCGAUCAUGGAGCAGUGAUGACGAUAUACCAGACCGUCAAUUUCAGGCAACUACAUCCUAUUCAUCCACUGAACUCAUUAUUGAAACAGCAGCUCUGUCAGAUUCAGCUCUCUAUUACUGUGCUCUUAGAGAAGCACAAUGA